CUCUAGCUACAACCGCACAUAAGAGGUAUUAAAGCAAUGCUGCCUUGGUUGGCGAGUCUUAGAAUAAUU
rfam:Clostridium spiroforme DSM 1552 Scfld_02_1 genomic scaffold, whole genome shotgun sequence.